UAAGCAUAUAAGUAGGUAAUGGUAGAAAAAAUAGAUUGGGUGUCCUUAGUAAUGGCGACUGAACAGGAAAGAACUUGGAAACAAAAUCUACGGCUCUAUGCUUCGACCUUUUGUGUCUUGGUGCGAAACCGGUUGGUGGGUGUGUCUACAUUUUCUGGAAAAAAAUGUAAUGAAGGGGAAGGACCCCCUUCCACACGCGUCUGUGCACACAAUGCUCGCAUCCAGAAAGUUGUGCUCUCUGAGAUGAGAACGCAAACCGGAUGGUAUAUGUCAUCUGAAGUCCCACGUUUUUGUCGAAUCCAACAGAAAACAAGUACCCCGAGGGAAAUGUGCAAAGUACUUUGGAAAGAGAGUUAAACGCGCCUGAAAUUGCUGCAGUGUAAGUGACUGUAUUCCGUCUUGAGGCAAGGCAAACGCUCGAUGCAGAUGUAUUUCGCUGAAGUCCAAUGCAUCGUGCACUGAAACCUGCAACAUGAAUCGAGGCUAAGGGACACGAGCGGGUAAAUCCUUUCAAAACGAUCUUCGGAUAGUGCUUUGAAAGCAUACGUGCGUUGGCUUGUUGCUAUGGACCGCGGCGUCCCCUGGAUGUAGGCCACCGUUCAGGCGACCUAGCAUACUUGCGGCCGCUCUGGUAGGCGUGCUCCUCGGAUGUUGUCGAUGUAUGCUCUUGACGCAGAGGAUAUCAAUCAACCCGUCUUGAAACACGGAUCAAGGAGUCCACACACGUGCGUAAGUGCAUGACGCCACCGGCAUUUGCAUAAAGAACGUAAUAAUUGAGACUAUUACACCGAUGGCCGACUUCGAUCCGUGGAGAGAGGUUUGAGUGUGAGCGAGCGUGCUGGGACCCGAAAGGUGGUGAACUAUAUCCGAGCAGGGUGAAGGCAGGGGAAACUCUGAUGGAGGCUCGUAGCAAUACUGACGUGCAAAUCGUUUGUCAAAAUU
rnacentral:rRNA from 1 species